rnacentral:lncRNA from 1 species
AUACAUAUAUUAUGAUCCAAACACUGUAAUUGUUAUAACCCAAACACUGUAAUUGCACAAAUAAAUCACAAUUUCAGCAACAUGCAUUCACUUGCAGAAUUGAAGUCAAAUAAUCCCAAUUUGCAAAACAGUUUACAGCAUGAACAACUUUCGCAAAAUCAACAACUCUAACAAAAUAAAUUUCAUAACAGAAAUGAACCCAAUUU